UAAUACGUAGGGUGCAAGCGUUAAUCGGAAUUACUGGGCGUAAAGCGUGCGCAGGCGGUUUUGUAAGACAGAGGUGAAAUCCCCGGGCUCAACCUGGGAACUGCCUUUGUGACUGCAAGGCUGGAGUGCGGCAGAGGGGGAUGGAAUUCCGCGUGUAGCAGUGAAAUGCGUAGAUAUGCGGAGGAACACCGAUGGCGAAGGCAAUCCCCUGGGCCUGCACUGACGCUCAUGCACGAAAGCGUGGGGAGCAAACAGG
rnacentral:rRNA from 1 species